rnacentral:rRNA from 1 species
UACAGAGGGGGCAAGCGUUGUUCGGAAUUACUGGGCGUAAAGGGCGCGUAGGCGGCCUGUUAAGUCGAACGUGAAAUCCCCGGGCUCAACCCGGGAACUGCGUCCGAUACUGGCAGGCUUGAAUCCGGGAGAGGGAUGCGGAAUUCCAGGUGUAGCGGUGAAAUGCGUAGAUAUCUGGAAGAACACCCGUGGCUAAGGCGG